rnacentral:rRNA from 1 species
GCAAGAAAGCUAGCUCAAACACCUUAAUAAAAUUAACAAUUUAUUUAAUUACUUAUAUAGUUAAACACCAACAAAACAAAUCAUUUGACCACCCCAGUACGGGCGACAAAAAAGGACACUAAUGAAGCCAUAGAUAAAGUACCGCAAGGGAAAGCUGAAAAAGAAAUGAAAAAACCCAUUAAAGCACAAAAAAGCAGAGAACCCCCCUCGUACCUUUUGCAUCAUGAUUCAGCCAGUAAAAUAUAUGCAAAGAGACCUCUAGUUUAUAACCCCGAAACCCGACGAGCUACUCCGAGACAGCCUAUACAGGGCCAACCCGUCUCUGUAGCAAAAGAGUGGGAAGAUCUCCGAGUAGUAGCAAAAGACCUACCGAGCCGGGUUAUAGCUGGUUGCCCAAUAAAUGAAUAAAAGUUCAGCCCCGUUAAGCCCUACUCACAACAGUCAUACACCAAAAGACGAAGAGCUACUAGACGGGAGUUAAUCAGAGGAGGUACAGCUCCCCUGAUUAAGGAUACAACCUUAAAAGAAGAUUAAGGAAUAUAGUUAAAUAAGGCCACAGGUCUCAGUGGGCCUAAAAGCAGCCAUCUGAUUCGAAAGCGUUAAAGCUCAGACCUUUACUAAGCCUAUUAUCUUAUCAAACCACUCCAAAAUCCCUUUAUACACUGGGCCUCUCUAUGUACCCAUAGAAGAGAUUAUGCUGAAAUGAGUAACAAGAAGAAUGAACUUCUCCCAGCACAAGUGUAAAUCGAAUUGGACCCACCACCGACAAUUAACGAACCCAAUAAAAGAGGGCCAUACACCACCGCCACCAAAAACCAAGAAAACCAUGUUAACCAAAUCGUUACCCCCACACAGGAGUGCUCAACCAAGGAAAGACUAAAAGGAAGAAAAGGAACUCGGCAAACCCAAACCCCGCCUGUUUACCAAAAACAUCGCCUCUUGCCCAUACCAGUAUAAGAGGUCCCACCUGCCCUGUGACCAAAAGUUUAACGGCCGCGGUAUCCUAACCGUGCGAAGGUAGCGCAAUCAAUUGCCUUUUAAAUGAAGGCCUGUAUGAAUGGUAUUACGAGGGUUUAACUGUCUCUUUUCCCAAGUCAGUUAAAUUGAUCCGUCCGUGCAGAAGCGGACAUAAAAAUACAAGACGAGAAGACCCUAUGGAGCUUUAGACACUAACCAACUUAUGAAAAGCAACACGAACAUAAACGUGACACAAACACCCAUAAAACUGGUAUAACUGUCUUAGGUUGGGGCGACCACGGGAGAAAACAAAGCUCCCAAGCAGACCAGGGACACCCUGAAACCAAGAGUUACAACUCUAAGCCACAAAAACUUUGACUGUAAUGAUCCGGCCACAGCCGAUUAACGGACCAAGUUACCCUAGGGAUAACAGCGCAAUCCCCUCCCAGAGUCCAUAUCGACAAGGGGGUUUACGACCUCGAUGUUGGAUCAGGACAUCCUAAUGGUGCAGCCGCUAUUAAGGGUUCGUUUGUUCAACGAUUAAAGUCCUACGUGAUCUGAGUUCAGACCGGAGUAAUCCAGGUCGGUUUCUAUCUGUAAAACGACCACCCCUAGUACGAAAGGACCGGGGUGGAAAGGCCUAUGCUAAAAGCAAGCCUUCCAUCUACCUGCUGAAAACAACUAAAGCAGACAAAGAUGGGUAAUCCGGGGCCCAAGAAAAGGGCCACCCAUAUUAUUCGC